rnacentral:rRNA from 1 species
UACUUUGAUAGAGUUAGGGUAAUUUGGGUGAUUAAUGCCAAAAGAGUUAGGCAAAAUGCGGAACUCUUGUAAUAAAAGUAGUGGAAGUACUGUAAAGGAAAUUAUACGUCAAUAAAUUGAGUAGUAGUGGGAGUUUCACGUACCUUUUGCAUCAUGGAUUAGCAAGAGUCCAAUACAGAAUCUUGUAUUUCUCGAAACUUAACGAGCUUCUGUCGGUCAGCUGUAAAGAUAUAUAGCAGCAGAGUAGGUAAGUGUGGUAUAACUUUGACUAUAGAUUGCAGAAGUGGUGAUAUUCCUUUCGUGUUAAGUGAUAGCUAGUUUCUUCAGAAAAGUAUCUUAGUACUGAGGUGGGCUGUAUAUAGAAUUUUAUUAUGAUACGUAAGGUCCGUUAUUUCUUUCACUUUUUAUAUACUUUAAGAUAAGUUUGAGUAUAAGACCAGAGGGAGCUACACGUCAUAUCAAAAAAUAUUUGUGCUUAGAGUUAGCUAAUAUUAUUCACAGUUUGUUUUAAAAGGAUUACAGAAUGCGUAGAAGAGUAAUAAGUUUAGUUUUAGUAAAUGGAGAUAGCCUAUAAAAUAGUGUCGUAUAGCGAAUAGUAUGCUGAGAUGAGUAUUACGACGUUAGGGGUAAUGUAAUAAUCUAGUUUCUGUGAUGAAUGAAAACAGAAAGAUUAAAUAUAGGAUUUAUUGAAAGUUAAGGUAAAGGAAUUCGGCAAAUAUAUUCUUCGCCUGUUUAGCAAAAACAUGGCUCACUGUAGAAAAUCAUAGUGAGUUGGGCCUGCCCAGUGAGUCUAGUAACUUCAACGGCCGCGGUACUCUGACCGUGCUAAGGUAGCAUAAUCAUUUGCCUUUUAAAUGGAGGCUGGUAUGAAUGGUUUGACGAGGGAAUAGCUGUCUCUGCUUAAUUGAUUAGAAAUUAAUCUCUAGGUGCAAAAGCCUAGAUGAACUAAAAAGACGAGAAGACCCUAUCGAGCUUAAGUAUUUUAUGGAAAGUAUGCAAAUAGACCAGUUCUCUUACUUUAGUUGGGGCGACUGAGGAACGAAAAUGAGCUUCCUUGAUUGAAAAUAAAAGGACUCUUUAUUGAUCCAGCGAAGUGUGUGCUGAUUAGCGGGAAAGCUACCGUAGGGAUAACAGCAUAAUUUCUUUAGAGAGUUCUUAUCGAUAACGAAGUUUGUGACCUCGAUGUUGGACUAAGGCGUCCUAGGGGUGCAGAAGCUUUUGAGGGUUGGUCUGUUCGACCAUUAAAGCCUU